UACGGAGGGGGCUAGCGUUGUUCGGAAUUACUGGGCGUAAAGCGCACGUAGGCGGAUCAGCAAGUUAGGGGUGAAAUCCCGGGGCUCAACCCCGGAACUGCCUUUAAGACUGUUGGUCUGGAGUCCGAGAGAGGUGAGUGGAAUUCCGAGUGUAGAGGUGAAAUUCGUAGAUAUUCGGAGGAACACCAGUGGCGAAGGCGGCUCACUGGCUCGGUACUGACGCUGAGGUGCGAAAGCGUGGGGAGCAAACAGGG
rnacentral:rRNA from 1 species